rnacentral:rRNA from 1 species
GGUUAAGUGACUAAGCGUACACGGUGGAUGCCCUGGCAGUCAGAGGCGAUGAAGGACGUGCUAAUCUGCGAUAAGCGUCGGUAAGGUGAUAUGAACCGUUAUAACCGGCGAUUUCCGAAUGGGGAAACCCAGUGUGAUUCGUCACACUAUCAUUAACUGAAUCCAUAGGUUAAUGAGGCGAACCGGGGGAACUGAAACAUCUAAGUACCCCGAGGAAAAGAAAUCAACCGAGAUUCCCCCAGUAGCGGCGAGCGAACGGGGAGGAGCCCAGAGCCUGAAUCAGUGUGUGUGUUAGUGGAAGCGUCUGGAAAGGCGCGCGAUACAGGGUGACAGCCCCGUACACAAAAAUGCACAUGCUGUGAGCUCGAUGAGUAGGGCGGGACACGUGGUAUCCUGUCUGAAUAUGGGGGGACCAUCCUCCAAGGCUAAAUACUCCUGACUGACCGAUAGUGAACCAGUACCGUGAGGGAAAGGCGAAAAGAACCCCGGCGAGGGGAGUGAAAAAGAACCUGAAACCGUGUACGUACAAGCAGUGGGAGCACAGAGCAAUCUGUGUGACUGCGUACCUUUUGUAUAAUGGGUCAGCGACUUAUAUUCUGUAGCAAGGUUAACCGAAUAGGGGAGCCGAAGGGAAACCGAGUCUUAACUGGGCGUUAAGUUGCAGGGUAUAGACCCGAAACCCGGUGAUCUAGCCAUGGGCAGGUUGAAGGUUGGGUAACACUAACUGGAGGACCGAACCGACUAAUGUUGAAAAAUUAGCGGAUGACUUGUGGCUGGGGGUGAAAGGCCAAUCAAACCGGGAGAUAGCUGGUUCUCCCCGAAAGCUAUUUAGGUAGCGCCUCGUGAAUUCAUCUCCGGGGGUAGAGCACUGUUUCGGCAAGGGGGUCAUCCCGACUUACCAACCCGAUGCAAACUGCGAAUACCGGAGAAUGUUAUCACGGGAGACACACGGCGGGUGCUAACGUCCGUCGUGAAGAGGGAAACAACCCAGACCGCCAGCUAAGGUCCCAAAGUCAUGGUUAAGUGGGAAACGAUGUGGGAAGGCCCAGACAGCCAGGAUGUUGGCUUAGAAGCAGCCAUCAUUUAAAGAAAGCGUAAUAGCUCACUGGUCGAGUCGGCCUGCGCGGAAGAUGUAACGGGGCUAAACCAUGCACCGAAGCUGCGGCAGCGACGCUUAUGCGUUGUUGGGUAGGGGAGCGUUCUGUAAGCCUGCGAAGGUGUGCUGUGAGGCAUGCUGGAGGUAUCAGAAGUGCGAAUGCUGACAUAAGUAACGAUAAAGCGGGUGAAAAGCCCGCUCGCCGGAAGACCAAGGGUUCCUGUCCAACGUUAAUCGGGGCAGGGUGAGUCGACCCCUAAGGCGAGGCCGAAAGGCGUAGUCGAUGGGAAACAGGUUAAUAUUCCUGUACUUGGUGUUACUGCGAAGGGGGGACGGAGAAGGCUAUGUUGGCCGGGCGACGGUUGUCCCGGUUUAAGCGUGUAGGCUGGUUUUCCAGGCAAAUCCGGAAAAUCAAGGCUGAGGCGUGAUGACGAGGCACUACGGUGCUGAAGCAACAAAUGCCCUGCUUCCAGGAAAAGCCUCUAAGCAUCAGGUAACAUCAAAUCGUACCCCAAACCGACACAGGUGGUCAGGUAGAGAAUACCAAGGCGCUUGAGAGAACUCGGGUGAAGGAACUAGGCAAAAUGGUGCCGUAACUUCGGGAGAAGGCACGCUGAUAUGUAGGUGAAGCGACUUGCUCGUGGAGCUGAAAUCAGUCGAAGAUACCAGCUGGCUGCAACUGUUUAUUAAAAACACAGCACUGUGCAAACACGAAAGUGGACGUAUACGGUGUGACGCCUGCCCGGUGCCGGAAGGUUAAUUGAUGGGGUCAGCGCAAGCGAAGCUCUUGAUCGAAGCCCCGGUAAACGGCGGCCGUAACUAUAACGGUCCUAAGGUAGCGAAAUUCCUUGUCGGGUAAGUUCCGACCUGCACGAAUGGCGUAAUGAUGGCCAGGCUGUCUCCACCCGAGACUCAGUGAAAUUGAACUCGCUGUGAAGAUGCAGUGUACCCGCGGCAAGACGGAAAGACCCCGUGAACCUUUACUAUAGCUUGACACUGAACAUUGAGCCUUGAUGUGUAGGAUAGGUGGGAGGCUUUGAAGUGUGGACGCCAGUCUGCAUGGAGCCGACCUUGAAAUACCACCCUUUAAUGUUUGAUGUUCUAACGUUGACCCGUAAUCCGGGUUGCGGACAGUGUCUGGUGGGUAGUUUGACUGGGGCGGUCUCCUCCUAAAGAGUAACGGAGGAGCACGAAGGUUGGCUAAUCCUGGUCGGACAUCAGGAGGUUAGUGCAAUGGCAUAAGCCAGCUUGACUGCGAGCGUGACGGCGCGAGCAGGUGCGAAAGCAGGUCAUAGUGAUCCGGUGGUUCUGAAUGGAAGGGCCAUCGCUCAACGGAUAAAAGGUACUCCGGGGAUAACAGGCUGAUACCGCCCAAGAGUUCAUAUCGACGGCGGUGUUUGGCACCUCGAUGUCGGCUCAUCACAUCCUGGGGCUGAAGUAGGUCCCAAGGGUAUGGCUGUUCGCCAUUUAAAGUGGUACGCGAGCUGGGUUUAGAACGUCGUGAGACAGUUCGGUCCCUAUCUGCCGUGGGCGCUGGAGAACUGAGGGGGGCUGCUCCUAGUACGAGAGGACCGGAGUGGACGCAUCACUGGUGUUCGGGUUGUCAUGCCAAUGGCACUGCCCGGUAGCUAAAUGCGGAAGAGAUAAGUGCUGAAAGCAUCUAAGCACGAAACUUGCCCCGAGAUGAGUUCUCCCUGACUCCUUGAGAGUCCUGAAGGAACGUUGAAGACGACGACGUUGAUAGGCCGGGUGUGUAAGCGCAGCGAUGCGUUGAGCUAACCGGUACUAAUGAACCGUGAGGCUUAACCUU